CCGAGCCAUUCCUCUUCGUUCUACAACAAGAUGGUGUUCUCUAGCGAACCUGUUCACUUUACAUGUGUGAUCUUCACUGGCAUUUGAGGCUUCUCUCCUAUCUCCUGGUGCCCAUUGGUUGUUUCAUCUUCUCUUGGUAUCCACGAACGUCAGUAAUCUCUACACAAAGAGAAUGAGGAGUCUAUAUGGAGAGAAAAGAAUCAAGCUUUGUAGCGAGGAGAAGCAUCACAUCAGCGGAAACAAAGCCAACAUGCCAACUCCACAUGGUCCUGCUUUCUCUUCCUCGCUCAACAAAUUACCUGAUGAUGCGGCCAUGCAUGCGCCUGGAGAGGCAGCGGAGGCUCCAC